ensembl:misc_RNA
ACUACCUCUGUGCAUUUCAAGAUCAGAAAUUCCACAGUUGUAUGUCUUCAACUCCACAUUCCUUGCAUUUUCCUCUUCAAUUUUUGAUCCACAGAUGUCUUAAAUAUCCAUAUCAUUGCAGGUUUAUAUUAAGAG